GAUGAACGCUGGCGGCGUGCCUAAUACAUGCAAGUCGAGCGAACGGACGAGGAGCUUGCUCCUCUGACGUUAGCGGCGGACGGGUGAGUAACACGUGGAUAACCUACCUAUAAGACUGGGAUAACUUCGGGAAACCGGAGCUAAUACCGGAUAAUAUUUUGAACCGCAUGGUUCAAUAGUGAAAGACGGUCUUGCUGUCACUUAUAGAUGGAUCCGCGCUGCAUUAGCUAGUUGGUAAGGUAACGGCUUACCAAGGCAACGAUGCAUAGCCGACCUGAGAGGGUGAUCGGCCACACUGGAACUGAGACACGGUCCAGACUCCUACGGGAGGCGGCAGUAGGGAAUCUUCCGCAAUGGGCGAAAGCCUGACGGAGCAACGCCGCGUGAGUGAUGAAGGUCUUCGGAUCGUAAAACUCUGUUAUUAGGGAAGAACAUAUGUGUAAGUAACUGUGCACAUCUUGACGGUACCUAAUCAGAAAGCCACGGCUAACUACGUG
rnacentral:rRNA from 1 species